rnacentral:rRNA from 1 species
AGUGACACUGCGCCGAAAAUGUACCGGGGCUAAACAUAUUACCGAAGCUGUGGAUUGUCCUUUGGACAAUGGUAGGAGAGCGUUCUAAGGGCGUUGAAGCAUGAUCGUAAGGACAUGUGGAGCGCUUAGAAGUGAGAAUGCCGGUGUGAGUAGCGAAAGACGGGUGAGAAUCCCGUCCACCGAUUGACUAAGGUUUCCAGAGGAAGGCUCGUCCGCUCUGGGUUAGUCGGGUCCUAAGCUGAGGCCGACAGGCGUAGGCGAUGGAUAACAGGUUGAUAUUCCUGUACCACCUAUAAUCGUUUUAAUCGAUGGGG